UGGGGAAUAUUGGACAAUGGGCGAAAGCCUGAUCCAGCCAUGCCGCGUGUGUGAAGAAGGUCUUCGGAUUGUAAAGCACUUUAAGUUGGGAGGAAGGGCAGUAAGCGAAUACCUAGCUGUUUUGACGUUACCGACAGAAUAAGCACCGGCUAACUCUGUGCCAGCAGCCGCGGUAAUACAGAGGGUGCAAGCGUUAAUCGGAAUUACUGGGCGUAAAGCGCGCGUAGGUGGUUCGUUAAGUUGAAUGUGAAAGCCCCGGGCUCAACCUGGGAACUGCAUCCAAAACUGGCGAGCUAGAGUAGGGCAGAGGGUGGUGGAAUUUCCUGUGUAGCGGUGAAAUGCGUAGAUAUAGGAAGGAACACCAGUGGCGAAGGCGACCACCUGGGCUCACACUGACACUGAGGUGCGAAAGCGUGGGGAGCAAACAGG
rnacentral:rRNA from 1 species